AUGGGAGACAGGGAUCAAGACCAUCCCCAUGGAAAAGAAAUGCAGAAAGCAAAAUGGCUGUCUGAGGAGGCCUUACAAAUAGCUGUGAAAAGAAGAGAGGCGAAAAGCAAAGGAGAAAAGGAAAGAUAUAAGCAUCUGAAUGCAGAGUUCCAAAGAAUAGCAAGGAGAGACAAGAAAGCCUUCCUCAGCGAUCAAGGCAAAGAAAUAGAGGAAAACAACAGAAUGGGAAAGACUAGAGAUCUCUUCAAGAAAAUUAGGUAUACCAAGGGAAUAUUUCAUACAAAGAUGGGCUCGAUAAAGGACAGAAAUGGUAUGGACUUAACAGAAGCAGAAGAUAUUAAGAAGACAGAAGCAGAAGAUAUUAAGAAGAGGUGGCAAGAAUACACAGAAGAAUUGUACAAAAAAGAUCUUCACGACCCAGAUAAUCAUGAUGGUAUGAUCACUCACCUAGAGCCAGAUAUCCUGGAAUGUGAAGUCAAGUGGGCCUUAGAAAGCAUCACUAUGAACAAAGCUAGUGGAGGUGAUGGAAUUCCAGUUGAGCUCUUUCAACUCCUGGAAGAUGAUGCUGUGAAAGUGCUGCACUCAAUUUGCCAGCAAAUUUGGAAAACUCAGCAGUGGCCACAGGACUGGAAAAGGUCAGUUCUCAUUCCAAUCCCAAAGAAAGGCAAUGCCAAAGAAUGCUCAAACUACUGCACAAUUGCACUCAUCUCACACACUAGUAAAGUAAUGCUCAAAAUUCUCCAAGCCAGGCUUAAGCAAUAUGCGAACCGUGAACUUCCAGAUGUUCAAGCUGGCUUUAGAAAAGGCAGAGGAGCCAGAGAUCAAAUUGCCAACAUCCACUGGAUCAUCAGAAAAGCAAGAGAGUUCCAGAAAAACAUCUAUUUCUGCUUUAUUGACUAUGCCAAAGCCUUUGACUGUGAGGAUCACAAUAAACUGUGGAAAAAUCUUCAAGAGAUGGGAAUACCAGACCACCUGACCUGCUUCUUGAGAAACCUAUAUGCAAGUCAGGAAGCAACAGUUAGAAAUGGAUAUGGAAAAACAGAUUGGUUCCAAAUAGGAAAAGGAGUACGUCAAGGCUGUAUAUUGUUACCCUGCUUAUUUAACUUCUAUGCAGACUACAUCAUGAGAAACGCUGGACUGGAAGCACAAGCUGGAAUCAAGAUUGCCGGGAGAAAUAUCAAUAACCUCAGAUAUGCAGAUGACACCACCCUUAUGGCAGAAAGUGAAGAGGAACUAAAAAGCCUCUUGAUGAAAGUGAAAGAGGAGAGUGAAAAACUUGUCUUAAAGCUCAACAUUCAGAAAACGAAGAUCAUGGCAUCUGGUCCCAUCACUUCAUGGGAAAUAGAUGGGGAAACAGUGGAAACAGUGUCAGACUUUAUUUUUUUGGACUCCCAAAUCACUGCAGAUGGUGACUGCAGCCAUGAAAUUAAAAGACGCUUACUCCUUGGAAGGAAAGUUAUGACCAACCUAGAUAGUAUAUUCACAAGCAGAGAUAUUACUUUGCCAACAAAGGUCCGUCUAGUCAAGGCUAUGGCUUUUCCUGUGGUCAUGUAUGGAUGUGAGAGUUGGACUGUGAAGAAGGCUGAGUGCUGA
rnacentral:lncRNA from 1 species